rnacentral:rRNA from 2 species
CUGAGGCGUGACGACGAGGCACUACGGUGCUGAAGCAACAAAUGCCCUGCUUCCAGGAAAAGCCUCUAAGCAUCAGGUAACAUCAAAUCGUACCCCAAACCGACACAGGUGGUCAGGUAGAGAAUACCAAGGCGCUUGAGAGAACUCGGGUGAAGGAACUAGGCAAAAUGGUGCCGUAACUUCGGGAGAAGGCACGCUGACACGUAGGUGAAGUGAUUUACUCAUGGAGCUGAAGUCAGUCGAAGAUACCAGCUGGCUGCAACUGUUUAUUAAAAACACAGCACUGUGCAAACACGAAAGUGGACGUAUACGGUGUGACGCCUGCCCGGUGCCGGAAGGUUAAUUGAUGGGGUCAGCGCAAGCGAAGCUCCUGAUCGAAGCCCCGGUAAACGGCGGCCGUAACUAUAACGGUCCUAAGGUAGCGAAAUUCCUUGUCGGGUAAGUUCCGACCUGCACGAAUGGCGUAAUGAUGGCCAGGCUGUCUCCACCCGAGACUCAGUGAAAUUGAACUCGCUGUGAAGAUGCAGUGUACCCGCGGCAAGACGGAAAGACCCCGUGAACCUUUACUAUAGCUUGACACUGAACAUUGAGCCUUGAUGUGUAGGAUAGGUGGGAGGCUUUGAAGUGUGGACGCCAGUCUGCAUGGAGCCGACCUUGAAAUACCACCCUUUAAUGUUUGAUGUUCUAACGUGGACCCGUUACCCGGGUUGCGGACAGUGUCUGGUGGGUAGUUUGACUGGGGCGGUCUCCUCCUAAAGAGUAACGGAGGAGCACGAAGGUUGGCUAAUCCUGGUCGGACAUCAGGAGGUUAGUGCAAUGGCAUAAGCCAGCUUGACUGCGAGCGUGACGGCGCGAGCAGGUGCGAAAGCAGGUCAUAGUGAUCCGGUGGUUCUGAAUGGAAGGGCCAUCGCUCAACGGAUAAAAGGUACUCCGGGGAUAACAGGCUGAUACCGCCCAAGAGUUCAUAUCGACGGCGGUGUUUGGCACCUCGAUGUCGGCUCAUCACAUCCUGGGGCUGAAGUAGGUCCCAAGGGUAUGGCUGUUCGCCAUUUAAAGUGGUACGCGAGCUGGGUUUAGAACGUCGUGAGACAGUUCGGUCCCUAUCUGCCGUGGGCGCUGGAGAACUGAGGGGGGCUGCUCCUAGUACGAGAGGACCGGAGUGGACGCAUCACUGGUGUUCGGGUUGUCAUGCCAAUGGCACUGCCCGGUAGCUAAAUGCGGAAGAGAUAAGUGCUGAAAGCAUCUAAGCACGAAACUUGCCCCGAGAUGAGUUCUCCCUGAGACUUAGAGUCUCCUGAAGGAACGUUGAAGACGACGACGUUGAUAGGCCGGGUGUGUAAGCGCAGCGAUGCGUUGAGCUAACCGGUACUAAUGAACCGUGAGGCUUAACCUU